rnacentral:rRNA from 1 species
AGAGUUUGAUCCUGGCUCAGAUUGAACGCUGGCGGCGUGCUUAACACAUGCAAGUCGUGCGAGAAAGGGGACUUCGGUCCCUGAGUAGAGCGGCGCACGGGUGAGUAACGCGUGGAUAAUCUCCCCAGAAGUUCGGGAUAACGGCGGGAAACUGCCGCUAAUACCGGAUACGCUCCAAUUUCGGUUGGGGGAAAGGCGGCCUCUGUUUACAAGCUGUCGCUUCUGGAUGAGUCCGCGUCCCAUUAGCUUGUUGGUGGGGUAAUGGCCUACCAAGGCUACGAUGGGUAGCUGGUCUGAGAGGAUGAUCAGCCACACUGGAACUGAAACACGGUCCAGACUCCUACGGGAGGCAGCAGUGGGGAAUAUUGCGCAAUGGGGGAAACCCUGACGCAGCGACGCCGUGUGAGGGAUGAAGACUUUCGGGUC